rnacentral:tRNA from 1 species
GGAUUGUGGCUCAGUGGUAGAUCGCUCUUCUAGCAAGUGUGAGGCCCUGGGUUCGAUCCUCAGCACCA